rnacentral:misc_RNA from 1 species
GAUGAAGAACGUAGCGAAAUGCGAUAAGUAAUGUGAAUUGCAGAAUUCAGUGAAUCAUCGAAUCUUUGAACGCACAUUGCGCCCGUCAGUAUUCUGGCGGGCAUGUCUGUUCGAGCGUCAUUACGCCCCUCAAGUCCCCUGUGGACUUGGUGUUGGGGAUCGGCGAGGCUGGUUUUCCAGCACAGCCGUCCCUUAAAUUAAUUGGCGGUCUCGCCGUGGCCCUCCUCUGCGCAGUAGUAAAACACUCGCAACAGGAGCCCGGCGCGGUCCACUGCCGUAAAACCCCCCAACUUUUUAUAGUUGACCUCGAAUCAGGUAGGGAUACCCGCUGAACUUAAGCAUAUCAAUAAGCGGAGGA